rnacentral:misc_RNA from 1 species
AAGACUAUAGACCUGCGGAGUACCUGCGGAAGGAUCAUUACCGAGUUAUACAACUCAUCAACCCUGUGAACAUACCUAUAACGUUGCCUCGGCGGGAACAGACGGCCCCGUAACACGGGCCGCCCCCGCCAGAGGACCCCCUAACUCUGUUUCUAUAAUGUUUCUUCUGAGUAAACAAGCAAAUAAAUUAAAACUUUUAGCAACGGAUCUCU